GGAAAGGUGGCUGAGUGGUCUAAAGCGCACGCCUGGAAAGUGUGUAUACAGUGUCCUGUAUCGAGGGUUCGAAUCCCUCUCUUUCCG
rnacentral:tRNA from 1 species